rnacentral:rRNA from 1 species
CUCGUAGGCGGCCAACUAAGUCGGACGUGAAAUCCCCAGGCUCAACCUGGGAACUGCGUCCGAUACUGGAUGGCUUGAAUUCGGGAGAGGGAUGCAGAAUUCCAGGUGUAGCGGUGAAAUGCGUAGAUAUCUGGAGGAAUACCGGUGGCGAAGGCGGCAUCCUGGACCGACAUUGACGCUGAUGAGCGAAAGCAAGGGGAGCAAACG